GAUGAAGAACGUAGCGAAAUCCGAUAAGUAGUGUGAAUUGCAGAAUUCAGUGAAUCAUCGAAUCUUUGAACGCACAUUGCGCCCCUUGGUAUCCCGAGGGGCAUGCCUGUUCGAGCGUCAUUUCACCACUCAAGCCUGGCUUGGUGUUGGGCGACGUCCUCUUUGGGGACGCGCCUCGAAACGCUCGGCGGCGUGGCACCGGCUUUAAGCGUAGCAGAAUCUUUCGCUUUGGAAGUCGGGGCCCCGUCUGCCGGAAGACCUGCUCGCAAGGUUGACCUCGGAUCAGGCAGGGAUACCCGCUGAACUUAAGCAUAUCAAUAAGCGGAGGA
rnacentral:misc_RNA from 1 species